UACGGGGGGGCAAGCGUUGUUCGGAAUUACUGGGCGUAAAGGGCUCGUAGGCGGCCAACUAAGUCAGACGUGAAAUCCCUCGGCUUAACCGGGGAACUGCGUCUGAUACUGGAUGGCUUGAGUUCGGGAGAGGGAAGCGGAAUUCCCGGUGUAGUGGUGAAAUGCGUAGAUAUCGGGAGGAACACCAGUGGCGAAGGCGGCUUUCUGGCCUGUUCUUGACGCUGAGGCGCGAAAGCUAGGGGAGCGAACGGG
rnacentral:rRNA from 1 species